rnacentral:rRNA from 1 species
GUGGAUUAGAUACCCUGGUAGUCCUAGCCGUAAACGAUGUGAACUUGGCGUCGGUGGGUUAAACUCCAUCGGUGCCGCAGCUAACGCGAUAAGUUCACCACCUGGGGACUACGGCCGCAAGGUUAAAACUCAAAGGAAUUGACGGGGGCCCGCACAAGCAGCGGAGCGUGUGGUUUAAUUCGAUGCUACACGAAGAACCUUACCCGGGCUUGACAUGCAAGUGGUAGUGAUCCGAAAGGUGAACGACCCGCAAGGGAGCUUGCACAGGUGUUGCACGGCUGUCGUCAACU